CUGGUUUUUGUUUCUUAUUUGUUUUCGACGGAAAACUCUUGAUUGUUUUGUGAGCAUUUGAAUCCUUAUACGGAGGCAGAAACUACUGCAAACCUCUGUCACUAAAAAUCUUGCAAAAAGUUGCUCAGAACUCUUGAGAAAACAAACCCUUCUGUUAUAUAUCAUUGCUUAGAUUUUAUCUAUGUUGUAUAAUUUGUUGUUUGGCGUUAGAUUAUCUGCGGUCGAUGGUCUUCACAGAGUUACCGACACGUAAUUGUGAACACGUAUUGUAGCAUGAUGUGUUUGCUGACAAAAGCAAAUGAGCAGCUGUUCAUGCUAUUUCCAUGUGCAAAUUUGUUGCUGCUGUCAGAUGUUUUGCAGAGGCACUGAUGCAGAAAACCCUUUGGUCUAUUAUCUCUUUCCGAAGAAUUGAAAUCCGUUAUCAUAUCUCUGAGAACUACUGCCAGGUGCUGGAGUUGAUUUAUGUCUAUCAUGUCUCGGAUGAUACUCUGUCAGUUCAGGUGGGGACUGCUGGCUAUUACUGCCAAGAUAAUUUUAAGCAGUUAAAUUUGGAGGAAACAGAUAUUGAUUGGCCGAACCUAGCUUCACUAUAUGGAUCAUAUGGUGUCUGUUUCUUAUGAUUCUUUGAAUAAUUGCUUCCACAUUUAGGUUAUGAAUGCAUUGGCUUAGAUUGAGAAGUAAGGUGAUUGUUCUUGCUACUGCUGAAACUGGUAGUGGAAUCCACCACAAUUUCACUGGCCUACCACUGUCAUCAACAACUGCAUGCCUGGCAUGUGUUGUUUAGAGAAAACAAGUUACUGCCAGAAGUGGGCUUUCUCUGGAACUUUGUAUUUUGUGGGACACAUGUAAGUUUACUAGGUAUGUGUUGUGACUGAAGCAAUUUUUACACUAUCGAUUAAUUAAAACACAUUAUAUAAUAUAGUUUUAAGAUAUUUGUGUAAAAGCUUUAAGAAAAUUAUGAAACAUGUUGGUCUAUGGCUAGAGGAGAAUGUAAAAUUAUAUAUUUGCUAUAUAGUUUUUUUUUUAAUCUUUUGAUAUUAUAUAUUCUAAAUUUCGACAAUGUCUGUGGAACUUGAAAUAGGAAAUGUGAUUUGUUUAGAAUUUGAUGUCUGUAUAUAAUUAUCAUCAUUAUUAUUAAUAUAGUUAUAAUACGAUCACACUUUAAAAUCCAUCCAUCAUUUAUCAUUAUAUAAUUAAAGUUUUAUUAAAUCACAGUAUAGUUAUAAUUCAAUUAUUUAAUUUCAUUCUUACAAAACGUGUGUGUUAAUUACAACUAGAACAUGAAAUUUUUGAUAUUUUAAUUGAACUUCUUUUUCAUGAUUGAGACGCAGGGAAUUGGACCGUUGUCAAUGGUAGAUUCGUGGACAAAGGCAAACAUUAGAGUAUAUUAGCUUUGUUUUUGGGUCAAUACCUAUUUUUAUGUCGCUUGCUCUUCUGGUUUUUUUUCCUAGUUUGGAAGCAUGUGUGAUUUUUCUAAGGCAACUCUUUAUAAAAAAUUUUAUCACUGAAUCGACCUGUGAAACUCCUGUUGUUACUCGCUACUUGUUAGGUAAAGGAGAAUUGUUGCAGCGUAGAGUAAGUAUGUAAGAAAAUUUGAAUGAGGCCUCUGAAAUGUUACAUGUGUUGGAGAAGGUCUCAGAAUGAAAGCGAAUGGAAGAAGCAUGGACAAGGUGAUUAGCUGAGAGGUCUGAGAGGUCUGAACAAGAUGUUCAAUGAUGGAUGAGGGACAAUGAUGAAUGGACAGAGUUGAUGAUCCGACAUUGGACUUGUGAAUUGUGACUGCAGCCAUACAAAGUCCUGCAACCAUGUGAGGCUUUUCUGAGUUUCGUACGAAAUUAUUUUGGGACUUUGCUGACAUUUGGCCAUGGACCCUUUCUUUGUGAUCUCAAUCUCCUGACGUUGUAGGAUACUUCAUCUGAAAAAGCUAAUCCAGGACCACUCAACAAAAUGGGAUACUCAAGCCAGAUACUGCUCAACUUUUACAUUUCUUUCUAAUUUUGCCAUGCAAAUUUAUCCUCAGAAACUCAGCAGCCUGAUGUAGGCAAGAAAGAAAGACAGAAUAUUUACUAACAACACCACCAAAUCAACAUGAUAUCAGAGUUUUAAGAGAUCAA